rnacentral:rRNA from 1 species
GUAACAUCUGGAAACAAGGUGCUAAUACCGCAUAACAACGAAAACCACAUGGUUUUCGUUUCUAAAGAAUGGUUUUCGGCUAUCACUUCAGGAUGGGCCCGCCGGUGCAUUAGCUAGUUGGUAGGGUAACGGGCUUACCAAGGCAAUGAUGCAUAGCCGAGUUGAGAGACUGAUCGGCCACAAUGGAACUGAGACACGGUCCAUACUCCUACGGGGGGGCAGCAGUAGGGAAUCUUCCACAAUGGGCGCAAGCCUGAUGGAGCAACACCGCGUGAGUGAAGAAGGGUUUCGGCUCGUAAAGCUCUGUUGUUGGAGAAGAACGUGCGUGAGAGUAACUGUUCACGCAGUGACGGUAUCCAACCAGAAAGUCACGGCUAACUACGUGCC